AUACUCCUGGGUGACCGAUAGCGAAGUAGUACCGUGAGGGAAAGGUGAAAAGAACCCCCAGUGGGUAGUGAAAUAGAACGUGAAACCGUGCUGAGCUCCCAAGCAGUGGGAGGGGAAAGUGAUCUCUGACCGCGUGCCUGUUGAAGAACGAGCCGGCGACUCAUAGGCAGUGGCUUGGUUAAGGGAACGGAACCCACCGGAGCCGUAGCGAAAGCGAGUCUUAAUAGGGCGAUUGUCACUGCUUAUGGACCCGAACCUGGGUGAUCUAUCCAUGACCAGGAUGAAGCUUGGAUGAAA
rnacentral:ncRNA from 1 species